rnacentral:rRNA from 1 species
UACGGGGGGGGGUAAGCGUUGUUCGGAAUUACUGGGCGUAAAGGGCUCGUAGGCGGCCAACUAAGUCAGACGUGAAAUCCCUCGGCUUAACCGGGGAACUGCGUCUGAUACUGGUUGGCUUGAAUCCGGGAGAGGGAUGUGGAAUUCCAGGUGUAGCGGUGAAAUUCGUAGAUAUCGGGAGGAACACCAGUGGCGAAGGCGGCGAUCUGGGUGGAUACUGACGCUGAGGUGCGAAAGCGUGGGGAGCAAACAGG